rnacentral:rRNA from 1 species
ACAUCCCGAGAACUUACCAGAGAUGGUGUGUUGCCUUCGGGAACUCUGAGACAGGUGCUGCAUGGCUGUCGUCAGCUCGUGUCGUGAGAUGUUGGGUUAAGUCCCGCAACGAGCGCAACCCUUGUCCUUUGUUGCCAUCAUUUCGUUGGGCACUCUCAAGGGAAAGCGCGUGAAUAACCGGAGGAAAGGGGGGAUGAAAUCCAAUCCUCCAGGGCCUUUACCAGUGGGG